GGGGAGCAAACAGGAUUAGAUACCCUGGUAGUCCACGCCGUAAACGAUGUCGACUUGGAGGUUGUGCCCUUGAGGCGUGGCUUCCGGAGCUAACGCGUUAAGUCGACCGCCUGGGGAGUACGGCCGCAAGGUUAAAACUCAAAUGAAUUGACGGGGGCCCGCACAAGCGGUGGAGCAUGUGGUUUAAUUCGAUGCAACGCGAAGAACCUUACCUGGUCUUGACAUCCACGGAACUUUCCAGAGAUGAGAAGGUGCCUUCGGGAACCGUGAGACAGGUGCUGCAUGGCUGUCGUCAGCUCGUGUUGUGAAAUGUUGGGUUAAGUCCCGCAACGAGCGCAACCCUUAUCCUUUGUUGCCAGCGGUCCGGCCGGGAACUCAAAGGAGACUGCCAGUGAUAAACUGGAGGAAGGUGGGGAUGACGUCAAGUCAUCAUGGCCCUUACGACCAGGGCUACACACGUGCUACAAUGGCGCAUACAAAGAGAAGCGACCUCGCGAGAGCAAGCGGACCUCAUAAAGUGCGUCGUAGUCCGGAUUGGAGUCUGCAACUCGACUCCAUGAAGUCGGAAUCGCUAGUAAUCGUGGAUCAGAAUGCCACGGUGAAUACGUUCCCGGGCCUUGUACACACCGCCCGUCACACCAUGGGAGUGGGUUGCAAAAGAAGUAGGUAGCUUAACCUUCG
rnacentral:rRNA from 1 species